GCCUGGCUGGCUCAGUCGGUGGAGCGUGUGACUCUUGAUCUCAGGGUUGUGAGUUCUAGCCCCAUGUUGGGUG
rnacentral:tRNA from 1 species